rnacentral:misc_RNA from 1 species
UUUCGGUAGUUUACUACCGUUUGAAGGGGGUGGAAACCUUGAAAGAGGGAGUACAUUCUGUUCUUAACCCUUAACUUUUUGCGUACUUAUGUUUCCUUAGUAGGCUUGCCUGCCGAUUGGACAAUUAAUAACCUUUUUACUUUUUAAUUAGCGUCUAAUAAAUUUUAAUAAUUACAACUUUCAACAACGGAUCUCUUGGUUCU